GGUAGCAUGGCCGAGCGGUCUAAGGCGCUGGUUUAAGGCACCAGUCAUUUCGAUGGCGUGGGUUCGAAUCACUGCUGCUA
rnacentral:tRNA from 1 species